rnacentral:rRNA from 1 species
AGAGAACGCUGGCGGUAGGCCUAACACAUGCAAGUCGAACGGCAGCACAGUAAGAGCUUGCUCUUACGGGUGGCGAGUGGCGGACGGGUGAGGAAUACAUCGGAAUCUACUUUUUCGUGGGGGAUAACGUAGGGAAACUUACGCUAAUACCGCAUACGACCUACGGGUGAAAGCAGGGGAUCUUCGGACCUUGCGCGAUUGAAUGAGCCGAUGUCGGAUUAGCUAGUUGGCGGGGUAAAGGCCCACCAAGGCGACGAUCCGUAGCUGGUCUGAGAGGAUGAUCAGCCACACUGGAACUGAGACACGGUCCAGACUCCUACGGGAGGCAGCAGUGGGGAAUAUUGGACAAUGGGCGCAAGCCUGAUCCAGCCAUACCGCGUGGGUGAAGAAGGCCUUCGGGUUGUAAAGCCCUUUUGUUGGGAGAGAAAAGCAGCAGGUUAAUACCCCGCUGUUCUGACGGUACCCAAAGAAUAAGCACCGGCUAACUUCGUG